rnacentral:rRNA from 1 species
CCUACGGGGGGCUGCAGUGGGGAAUAUUGCACAAUGGGGGAAACCCUGAUGCAGCAACGCCGCGUGAGCGAAGAAGGCCUUCGGGUCGUAAAGCUCUGUCCUAAGGGAAGAAUAAUGACGGUACCUUAGGAGGAAGCCCCGGCUAACUACCUGCCAGCAGCCGCGGUAAUACGUAGGGGGCGAGCGUUAUCCGGAAUCACUGGGCGUAAAGGGUGCGUAGGCGGCCCUGCAAGUAAGGAGUUAAAUCCCUCGGCUCAACCGAGGUCAGAUCUUGAAACUGGAGGGCUUGAGUGCAGGUGUUGAGAGCGGAAUUCUUAGUGUAGAGGUGACAUGCGUAGAUAUUAGGAGUAAAACCAGUGGCGUUAGCGGCUCUCUGGACUGUAACUGACUCUGAGGUACGAAAGUGUGGGGAGUGAACAGGAUUAGAUACCCUUGUAGUC